CACCGCGGUUAUACGAGUGGCCCAAGUUGAAGGUUGCCGGCGUAAAGAGUGGUUAGGGAAUCAACAAACUAAAGCCGAACACCCUCCAGGCUGUUAUACGCUCCUGAGGGCACGAAGCCCCACUACGAAAGUGGCUUUAAUUCACCUGAACCCACGACAGCUAGGGUA
rnacentral:rRNA from 1 species